UUCAGAUUGCAGGCUGCAACUCGCCUGCAUGAAGUUGGAAUUGCUAGUAAUCGCGAAUCAGAAUGUCGCGAUGAAUACGUUCCCGGGCCUUGUACACACCGCCCGUCACACCAUGGGAGCCGGUAAUACCCGAAGUCAGUAGUCCAACCUCGUGAGGACGCUGCCGAAGGUAGGAUUGGCGACUGGGGUGAAGUCGUAACAAGGUAUC
rnacentral:rRNA from 1 species